rnacentral:rRNA from 1 species
UACGUAGGGUGCGAGCGUUAAUCGGAAUUACUGGGCGUAAAGUGUGCGCAGGCGGCCUCGCAAGUCGAGUGUGAAAUCCCCGGGCUCAACCUGGGAACUGCCCUCCAAACUGUUUGACUUGAGUCCGGGAGAGGUGAGUGGAAUUCCCAGUGUAGCGGUGAAAUGCGUAGAUAUUGGGAGGAACACCAGUGGCGAAGGCGGCUCACUGGACCGGAACUGACGCUGAGGCGCGAAAGCGUGGGGAGCAAACAGG